rnacentral:rRNA from 1 species
AUUGAACGCUGGCGGCAGGCCUAACACAUGCAAGUCGAACGAGUGGCGGACGGGUGAGUAAUGUCUGGGAAACUGCCCGAUGGAGGGGGAUAACUAAUGGAAACGGUAGCUAAUACCGCAUACCAUCGGAUGUGCCCAGAUGGGAUUAGCUAGUUGGUGGGGUAACGGCUCACCGAGGCGACGAUCCCUAGCUGGUCUGAGAGGAUGACCAGCCACACUGGAACUGAGACACGGUCCAGACUCCUACGGGAGGCAGCAGUGGGGAAUAUUGCACAAUGGGCGCAAGCCUGCUGCAGCCAUGCCGCGUGUAUGAAGAAGGCCUUCGGUUUGUAAAGUACUUUCAGCGAGGAGGCGUUACUCGCAGAAGAAGCACCGGCUAACUCCGUGCCAGCCGCCGCGGUAAUUC